rnacentral:tRNA from 1 species
GGCAGUAUGACAUAAUGGUCAAGUGCAUGGCUUCUAGAGCCAGACUAUGGGUUCAAGUCCCUGUUCUGCCC